rnacentral:rRNA from 1 species
GAUGAACGCUGGCGGCGUGCCUAAUACAUGCAAGUCGAGCGAACAGACGAGGAGCUUGCUCCUCUGACGUUAGCGGCGGACGGGUGAGUAACACGUGGAUAACCUACCUAUAAGACUGGGAUAACUUCGGGAAACCGGAGCUAAUACCGGAUAAUAUAUUGAACCGCAUGGUUCAAUAGUGAAAGACGGUUUUGCUGUAACUUAUAGAUGGAUCCGCGCCGCAUUAGCUAGUUGGUAAGGUAACGGCUUACCAAGGCAACGAUGCGUAGCCGACCUGAGAGUGUGAUCGGCCACACUGGAACUGAGACACGGUCCAGACUCCUACGGGAGGCAGCAGUAGGGAAUCUUCCGCAAUGGGCGAAAGCCUGACGGAGCAACGCCGCGUGAGUGAUGAAGGUCUUCGGAUCGUAAAACUCUGUUAUUAGGGAAGAACAAAUGUGUAAGUAACUAUGCACGUCUUGACGGUACCUAAUCAGAAAGCCACGGCUAACUACGUG